UACGGGGGGGGCAAGCGUUGUUCGGAAUUACUGGGCGUAAAGGGCUCGUAGGCGGCCAACUAAGUCGGAUGUGAAAUCCCCAGGCUUAACCUGGGAACUGCAUCCGAUACUGGAUGGCUUGAAUCCGGGAGAGGGAUGCGGAAUUCCAGGUGUAGCGGUGAAAUGCGUAGAUAUCUGGAGGAACACCGGUGGCGAAGGCGGCAUCCUGGACCGGCAUUGACGCCUGAGGAGCGAAAGCCAGGGGAGCAAACGGGG
rnacentral:rRNA from 1 species